AACGUAGGUGGCAAGCGUUAUCCGGAUUUACUGGGUGUAAAGCGUGUGCAGGCGGUCAGGUAAGUAGCGCGUGAAAGCGCCCGGCUUAACCGGGCGAGGACGUGCUGUACUGCCUGACUGGAGAUGGGUAGAGGCGAGUGGAAUUCCGGGUGUAGUGGUGAAAUGCGUAGAGAUCCGGAGGAACACCUGAGGCGAAGGCGACUCGCUGGGCCCGUUCUGACGCUCAGACACGACAGCAUGGGGAGCGAACGGG
rnacentral:rRNA from 1 species